GGAGGGUGACAGAUAAGAGGUGACCAGGUGGGUGGGGUUUCCGACCGUACGACACCUGACACCCCCGAUCUGGAUCCGACGGCUCCCGCGGGUGUGCGCUCGGGAAAACACGCCCGCCCUCACCGUCUGCAUUCCUGCUGCCGUCUUACCUUCUCGUCCCUGUUACGUCGUUCCUGUUCCACUCGACCGAAAAUUCCCGAUCGGGCAACCAGAUGGAAGCCGACGCCGCCUCCUCGCUCAACCCCCGGGCGCCAGAGGAAGCCUCACAAGAGGAUCCCUCGCCAGCGCGCUUCUCCUCCACCGGCGCGGCUGCCCCCUCGACCACGGUGACGUCUCCCGGGGCAAGGGAGGUGGCGGCGGCGAUGGAGGCAGUGGAGCGAGACGCCGCCGCCAUCGCCGAGAGCUACGCCUCCCUAUUCGCCUCCCUCCGCAUCACACUGUCCAACGUUACCUCGACGUCAGCCGAUAACAUGGAGUGCUUGGGCGAAGUUGUAGGCCGCCUCCAGGAGUCAGCACUUGAAGCGUCUUCCAGAGGCAAUAAGUACAUCCAUUCAUGCCUGAGGUUAAAUGAGGAAAUGCGAGGCUUGGAAAGCCUAAGUAUGCAGCUAUUAUGCGGAAGAUCGUUGAUUCACUAGAUUUGGCUGUUGAUCGGCUGCUCCACCUCCCGUAGUUCAUGCAUCUAUCAAUAGCUUCUACAAGGAACUUCUGAUGAAAUUUAUAUUCACCAAGUAGCUGUCACAUUUGAAGAGGCAACCGACUACUGUAAAUCUGAAGUGGCGUGUACAAGCAACGGAGAAGUUUUCCUCUUCCACGACAUGACAAAAUUCUCCCAACUCUUCGACUUUAUUGUUCUUCGUUAUGUGUAUUUGGGAUCAAUGAUAUGUAUUUGUUGAGAAAUAACUAUUUGCAACUCUUCCAUCCUUUAGGGCAUAUUCAAUAGAUUGUAUGUUAGUCUUGUUGGUAAAAUGUCCAUGUCAUCAACCAACAAGCUAUCAUACAACUACUCCAAUGGGUUGUAUCUAAGGUAUCCAAUAGAUGAUGAGAAAAUAAAUGUGAUUGCUCUCUAUUUCA